UACGUAGGGACCGAGCGUUGUCCGGAAUCAUUGGGCGUAAAGCGCGCGUAGGCGGCCCCGUAAGUCCGCUGUGAAAGUCAAAGGCUCAACCUUUGAAAGCCGGUGGAUACUGUGGGGCUAGAGUCCGGAAGAGGCGAGUGGAAUUCCUGGUGUAGCGGUGGAAUGCGCAGAUAUCAGGAGGAACACCAAUAGCGAAGGCAGCGCGCUGGGACGGUACUGACGCUAAGGCGCGAAAGCGUGGGGAGCGAACAGG
rnacentral:rRNA from 1 species